rnacentral:rRNA from 1 species
UACGGAGGGUGCAAGCGUUGUCCGGAAUCAUUGGGCGUAAAGAGUUCGUAGGUGGUAUGUUAAGUCUGGUGUCAAAGCCCGAAGCUCAACUUCGGUUCGGCACUGGAUACUGGCAAACUUGAAUGUGGUAGAGGUAAAGGGAAUUCCUGGUGUAGCGGUGAAAUGCGUAGAUAUCAGGAGGAACAUCGGUGGCGUAAGCGCUUUACUGGGCCAUUAUUGACACUGAGGAACGAAAGCCGGGGUAGCAAAUGGG